UACGAAGGGGGCUAGCGUUGCUCGGAAUCACUGGGCGUAAAGCGCACGUAGGCGGCUUCUUAAGUCAGGGGUGAAAUCCUGGAGCUCAACUUCAGAACUGCCUUUGAUACUGAGUAGCUUGAGUCCGGGAGAGGUGAGUGGAACUGCGAGUGUAGAGGUGAAAUUCGUAGAUAUUCGCAAGAACACCAGUGGCGAAGGCGGCUCACUGGCCCGGUACUGACGCUGAGGUGCGAAAGCGUGGGGAGCAAACAGG
rnacentral:rRNA from 1 species